rnacentral:misc_RNA from 1 species
ACAGAUGAUGGCGAUUAUCAGGUAAAACUUCGCAGCCUGAUACGCUUUCUAGAAGAAGGUGAUAAAGCUAAGAUUACGGUUCGUUUUCGUGGUCGUGAAAUGGCUCACCAAGAGAUUGGUAUGGAUGUGUUAACUCGUGUCCGUGACGAUCUUGCUGAUAUUUCAGUUGUUGAAUCCUUUCCAUCUCGUAUAGAAGGGCGUCAAAUGAUUAUGGUAUUAGCACCUAAGAAGAAAUAGUUUGGCUAAUAAAGUGAUGCAGUUAAAUGCGUCCGCCAGCUAUUUUAUUGAUAAACCAAUGUGAAGUGAAUGUAUGGGCAUAUACUGCCAU